rnacentral:misc_RNA from 1 species
AAGUCGUAACAAGGUUUCCGUAGGUGAACCUGCGGAAGGAUCAUUAACACGUUAUCCACGUUUUAUCAACACCACUCUGAACUAUGCUCCCUGUUAGAAGACCUCAAGGAUGCCUGUGCUUGACUAUUGUGGGCUUGCCGAGUUUCACGACUCGCGUAAGCACGUCAUGCUUGCAGGAUGUGUCGUAUCCCCGGAGCCGAGGGCGAAUCCGAGAAACUUUCUAACAGGCUUAUUGAUUCUCUUGUCCGCCAACCACAUUGGCCGAUGAGACGACACCAUACCCCUUUCACCCUAUUUUACUAAUUUGACUGAUUAUUACAUUCUUCGGGAGAAAUCCUGUUGAAUACUAAGAUUUAUCUUAACUAAGCACAACUCUUAGCAAUGGAUAUCUUGGUUCUC